UAUGUGAUCGUCUCUCGCAUAUCAAUAAGCGGAGGAAAAGAAACUAACAAGGAUUCCCCUAGUAACGGCGAGUGAAGCGGGAAGAGCUCAAAUUCGAAAUCUUAAAGGGUUUCCCUUUACGAAUUGUAGUUUAAAGAAGUGUUUUCUGUUGAGGUUUUGGUAAAAGUUCUUUGGAGUAGGACAUCAUAGAGGGUGAGAAUCCCGUAUUUGACCUUUACUUUCAACUUUGUGAUACACUUUCAAAGAGUCGGAUUGUUUGGGAAUGCAGUCCAAAAUGGGUGGUAAAUUUCAUCUAAAGCUAAAUAUUGGCGAGAGACCGAUAGCGAACAAGUACCGUGAGGGAAAGAUGAAAAGAACUUUGAAAAGAGAGUUAAACAGUACGUGAAAUUGUCAAAAGGGAAGCGUUUGACACCAGUGUUGUUUUUCUGAAAAUCAAUUAAAGAACUGUUUAUGCUAAGUUGUUUAGACUUUAUCAGCUAACUGUUUAGUUUUGAGCUUUUCUUUAAUGCACUUUUCAGUUAACAAGUCAACAUCAAUUUCUUUUGCUGUAAAAAAGCUUGAGGAAGGUGGCUUGAGAUUCGUCUUAAGUGUUUAUAGCCUCUUGCCUAUGCAGUCGGAGAGAUUGAGGUCUGCAGCGUAGAUCCUUCGGGGCUAAAUGCAUUUGUGCUAAGUUAUAGCAUUUUAUAGACAACUUGUUGACUAUGAUUUGUCUUGUAGCUUACUCGCUUAUGUUAUUUUACCUACGCUUAGGAUGUUGAGUAGCGACAUACGCAC
rnacentral:rRNA from 1 species